rnacentral:lncRNA from 1 species
UUAACCUUUGAGCAUAUCAGUAUUGAUCGCCCGAGACUCGUUCGCAUUUCACGAUCACCAGCGGUCUGAUCCACCGCAAAGAGGGUGUUCUUUUCCGAAAAAGUGGUUUGAUGUGCCAGCCCAUGAGCCCAGCGGUCGGGACUGGGUUAUAUGCAGCCUAUGAGCCCAGCGGUCAGAACUGGGUGCCCAGCGGUCAGAACUGGGUUAUAUACAGGUAGAGUGGCAGUGGGCAUGGGCCUGAGGUCUACGGACCAAUAGGGCAGUUUUCAGAUUGGGUAUUUUUGGACUUGUCGUCUGGUUGACGCAUAUGACUAUAGUAGCGGUUGUUGCUUGCAUACUUACAGUUCUUUCUUUACAGUUGUCUUGCUACCAUAGUUGAUAUCCAUGUAUGCAUUUAGUUCUUCCUUACAGUAGCGGUAGUUGUGUUUUCAUAUAUACAUAUAUAUAUUCGUUCAUUAUCGUUGCUACUGUAUUUCACUUACCCAUACUGUUGUUUAUCUCUUCCUGAUCCGGUGAGUACUCCUCGCCUUCAUCGGCUUGCGGUACCCACUGGGAGGGGAGACAUGUUUACAUGUUCUCACCUCCCCCACCAUUUUUCAGGUAUUGCGGGCGGUGACGGUUGAGACGAGAUGUGAGACACGUUCGUAGUUGUCGCUAGAGCUUUCGAUCCGGUUUGUUCAGUUCAGCUACUACCCUCUUUAUUUCUGUUGACAUAUCUUAGACAUAUGGUUCAGUUGGUUUUGUUUACUUGGAUAUAUAUAUAAACAUGGUUUUGUGAAGUUAAUUAAAACACGUGGUUUCAUGUAAAAUAAGGAUAUAUGAUUUUGUGAAAAGGAAAAAAAAUUUUACCCCUCGUGGUAGCGUGUUUUAAAAAGAAAAGGUUUCCGCGUGGGAAACAGCUUUCAAAAGAGUUUUCUCAUGGUUUUCUUGAAUUACUUCAAAAUAAGUUUUCUGGUAGGAAACGUUUCAACUGAUAGUUGUGGAUUUAUAAUCAGAUCUCUGUUUAUGAACCGUGGUGAAUGGUGUAUGGAUAUUGCAUGUAGGAUGACUUGUAUAUUCAUUUAGUUGUGGUUAUAUCCUGUUUUACAUCUUGUACUUGUGCGACGCCGUGCAAAUACAGAGGAGACUCUGUCCGUGUGAACAGUGGAAUCCCUGGUAUUUGUGGCGGAUCUGGCAUACCCUGGGGUCAGGUUUUCAAAAAAAAAAAAUUUCUAGUCACUUCCGCUUUAUUUUCAAACUAAAAGGGACCCCGAGGCGUGACAUAUUUCUUUCCUGCAUUUAGUGUUAUUUAAAUAAAUGGUUCAGUUAGAUAAUUCCUAUGAAUGUUUGAAUGUUUGUGAACUGGUUUUAACUUGAUGAUUUACUGAUGCAUGAGAUUAGAGAUUUGUGGAUCCGUGGUUUUGGUUAUAUAGAUAUUUGGUUCUCGUAUUUAUGGAUUUACGCAUUGUGGUUUUCUACCCCUCAUGGUAGUCGAUUUUCAAAAUAAAGUUUUCGUAUGGGAAACAGUUUUAAAAAGGGUUUUUCGAAUGUUUUAUGGAUGAUUAUAUAGAUUUCAAAAACAAAGC